UCGACAUUAAGUGUUUCAAGAGAGCUCAAAUUGAAAAUGCUCUCCGAAAGACUCCUUAGGCUUUUGCAACUAGACAAAUCUAGGUGUUGAAGAGCCUUUAGACGUCCAAUUGAGGAUGUAAGCUCUUCUAUACUUGUUUCCCUCAAAUCAAGCCUUUUUAGAUUUUCCAUAUCAUCUUUGAUUUCUGGAAAGCGCUUUAAAUUUGAACACCCCCGCACAAUGAGAGUUUCAAGAGAGCUCAAAUUGCAAAUGCUCUCCGAAAGACUCCUUAGGCUUUUGCAACCAGACAAAUCUAGGUGUUGAAGAGCCUUUAGACGUCCAAUUGAGGAUGUAAGCUCUUCUAUACCUGUUUCCCUCAAAUCAAGCAUUUUUAGAUUUUCCAUAUCAUCUUUGAUUUGUGGAAAGCGCUUUAAAUUUGAACACCCCCGCACAAUGAGAGUUUCAAGAGAGCUCAAAUUGCAAAUGCUCUCCGAAAGACUCCUUAGGCUUUUGCAACCAGACAAAUCUAGGCGUUGAAGAGCCUUUAGACGUCCAAUUGAGGAUGUAAGCUCUUCUAUACCUGUUUCCCUCAAAUCAAGCAUUUUUAGAUUUUCCAUAUCAUCUUUGAUUUCUGGAAAGCGCUUUAAAUUUGAACACCCCCGCACAAUGAGAGUUUCAAGAGAGCUCAAAUUGAAAAUGCUCUCCGAAAGACUCCUUAGGUUUUUGCAACUAGACAAAUCUAGGUGUUGAAGAGCCUUUUGACGUCCAAUUAAGGAUGGAAGCUCUUCUAUACUUGUUUCCCUAAAAUCAAGCCUUUUUAGAUUUUCCAUAUCAUCUUUGAUUUCUGGAAAGUGCUUUAAAUUUGAACACCCCUGCACAAUGAGAGUUUCAAGAAAGCUCAAAUUGCAAAUGCUCUCCGAAAGACUCCUUAGGCUUUUGCAACCAGACAAAUCUAGGUGUUGAAGAGCCUUUAGACGUCCAACUGAGAAUGGAAGCUCUUCUAUAUCUGUUUCCCUCAAAUCAAGCCUUUUUAGAUUUUCCAUAUCAUCUUUGAUUUCUGGAAAGCCCUUUAAAUUUGAACACCCCUGCACAAUGAGAGUUUCAAGAGAGCUCAAAUUGUCAAUGCUCUCUGAAAGACUCCUUAGGCUUUUGCAACCAGACAAAUCUAGGUGUUGAAGAGCCUUUAGACGUCCAACUGAGAAUGGAAGCUCUUCUAUAUCUAUUUCCCCCAAAUCAAGCCUUUUUAGAUUUUCCAUAUCAUCUUUGAUUUCUGGAAAGCGCUUUAAAUUUGAACACUCCCGCACAAUGAGAGUUUCAAGAGAGCUCAAAUUGAAAAUGUUCUCCGAAAGACUCCUUAG
rnacentral:lncRNA from 1 species